CCACAUUGGGACUGAGACACGGCCCAGACUCCUACGGGAGGCAGCAGUGGGGAAUAUUGCACAAUGGGGGAAACCCUGAUGCAGCGACGCCGCGUGGAGGAAGAAGGUCUUCGGAUUGUAAACUCCUGUUGUUGAGGAAGAUAAUGACGGUACUCAACAAGGAAGUGACGGCUAACUACGUGCCAGCAGCCGCGGUAAAACGUAGGUCACAAGCGUUGUCCGGAAUUACUGGGUGUAAAGGGAGCGCAGGCGGGAAGACAAGUUGGAAGUGAAAUCCAUGGGCUCAACCCAUGAACUGCUUUCAAAACUGUUUUUCUUGAGUAGUGCAGAGGUAGGCGGAAUUCCCGGUGUAGCGGUGGAAUGCGUAGAUAUCGGGAGGAACACCAGUGGCGAAGGCGGCCUACUGGGCACCAACUGACGCUGAGGCUCGAAAGUGUGGGUAGCAAACAGGAUUAGAUACCCUGGUAGUCCACACUGUAAACGAUGAUUACUAGGUGUUGGAGGAUUGACCCCUUCAGUGCCGCAGUUAACACAAUAAGUAAUCCACCUGGGGAGUACGACCGCAAGGUUGAAACUCAAAGGAAUUGACGGGGGCCCGCACAAGCAGUGGAGUAUGUGGUUUAAUUCGACGCAACGCGAAGAACCUUACCAAGUCUUGACAUCCUGCGACGGUGCUGGAAACAGUACUUUCCUUCGGGACGCAGAGACAGGUGGUGCAUGGUUGUCGUCAGCUCGUGUCGUGAGAUGUUGGGUUAAGUCC
rnacentral:rRNA from 1 species